CGGUGUUUAACUGGCGUGAUGUGGGACGUCCUACCGGUGGGCUUAGCCUCGCGAGGGGCGGCCCAACUAAUAUCCCGUCGCGGUGCUCUUUACUGAGUGUCGAGUCGGGCCGGUACGUUUACUUUGAACAAAUUAGAGUGCUUAAAGCAGGCUAUCCUCGCCUGAAUACUGCGUGCAUGGAAUAAUGGAAUAGGACCUCGGUUCUAUUUUGUUGGUUUUCGGAACCCCCGAGGUAAUGAUUAAUAGGGACAGAUGGGGGCAUUCGUAUUGCGACGUUAGAGGUGAAAUUUUUGGAUCGUCGCAAGACGGACAGAAGCGAAAGCAUUUGCCAAAAAUGUUUUCAUUAAUCACGAACGAAAGUUAGAGGUUCGAAGGCGAUCAGAUACCGCCCUAGUUCUAACCAUAAACGAUGCCAGCUAGCGAUCCGCCGAAGUUCCUCCGAUGACUCGGCGGGCAGCUUCCGGGAAACCAAAGCUUUUGGGUUCCGGGGGAAGUAUGGUUGCAAAGCUGAAACUUAAAGGAAUUGACGGAAGGGCACCACCAGGAGUGGAGCCUGCGGCUUAAUUUGACUCAACACGGGAAACCUCACCAGGCCCAGACACCGGAAGGAUUGACAGAUUGAUAGCUCUUUCUUGAUUCGGUGGGUGGUGGUGCAUGGGCCGUUCUUAGUUGGUGGAGCGAUUUGUCUGGUUAAUUCCGAUAACGAACGAGACUCUAGCCUGCUAAAUAGGCGUACCUUAUGGUAUCGCGAAGGCCCCCGGCUUCGGCCGGUGGGUUUUUACUACCAACGUACAAACAAAUCUUUUUAGAGGGACAGGCGG
rnacentral:rRNA from 1 species